rnacentral:lncRNA from 1 species
UUUUAUUUUUUAUUUCCUUUAUUUGUGUUUAAUUUGUAUUGAUUUUCCUUCUUUCUAUUAUUAUUUCAGACAAUGGCAGCUGUUAAGAAGAGGACGUUAUGUUGAAUUCAACUUGAUCUAUGACCGAGGAACCAAAUUCGGUCUGAACACACCGAAUGCUCGCUAUGAAAGUAUCCUCAUGUCUUUGCCGCUCUAUGCAAAAUGGCUAUAUUGUCAUAAUCCAGAACCUGGUUCAAAGGAAGAAGAAAUCACCUCUGUUCUUAAAGAACCCAAGAAUUGGGCUUAAAUUCCAUUUUAUAUCCUAAAUUUAUACUCGUUACAAUAGAAUGUAUUUAUAUAUAAUAAAAGAAACUUAAAAUCCA